rnacentral:lncRNA from 1 species
CAGCAGUUGUACACACAGCCUAACCAUGCUUCCUUUACAAAUAUCCUCAAAAUACUGCAGGAGGAGUUCCAUGUUAGUUUCAGCAAAGCAUUUCUUUUAAUUUUCUUCCACUGACUAUCCAGGUUUCUUUCUUCAUCCUUCAUAAAGCACCAGUUUGCCAAAUAGAGAACAUAGAGAACUAUGCUGUCAACUACCCACUUACCAGUGGGAAUGUAGGAUCCUGCACUAGCGGGCCCACAGGUUUGAUUCAGUGAGGAAAUUACCAUGUCCUUGUAUCCUUUUAAUUGUAGGUUUGAAAACUGUAGUGUGGAGAUGCACAUAAAUUAUUACUUUGUCGUUGAAUCUGGAGUCAGUCCAGUGUGAACCCGGAAUGCCUGGAGCUGCUCCAGCCGAGUGGCAGGAACAAGGCUGAGAGCCCCAGUAAACACCGCAUGAUUUCUGGUAUUUGCAGGGCAUCUGUUUCGCCUGCCCUUGCAGUACCUUUGUCUGGUCUGGAGAAGAUCCUGGGUGACUGGUGAUUUUAUUAUGGCCUGGCACAUUUGAGGGUAAGCCACUCGGCUUGUCAGCAUGCUUCCAGAAGAAAAGCUUCAGUGAAAAAACCUUGCUCCGGGCUUGAAAAUCUGAACUGCAGCCAAUUCCAGCCGAGGGAUGUGACAAUUGCCUUUUGCUGUGAAGUUGCCAUCUGAACAAUGACACUGUUGUGUUUUGAAAAGACAACAAGCAAUGAAAAGAAUGCGUGUGUGUAAUGUAUGUGUCUGGCACACCGUGACUGCUGCCUUGACAUUCUCCCAAGCUGACAUCCCGACCGGUAUGACACUGAUGCCUUUGGGCAGAAAUCAGAGCCGGUUUGCUACAUGCCUCUGUGUAGCCAGGAUGCCUGUAGUGCCUCUGAGAGCCCCCAGUGCCCUGGUGGGGAAAUGGAGCGAGCACGUGAGCCCCAGAUGAACUCCAGGGAAAGAGCAGGAAUUAUCUGUGGUGAUCCUGCUGCCCAUUUCCAGUUGUUGAAAUGGCUGGAAGAGAAGCCCUCUGACCAUCUGCUUUAUAUUCAGACUUCAGAUUUGAGUCUUCACCUAAAGGUAGGACUGAGAGCAAAGUCUCAUGUGUCGCAAACUCACAGUGAAAGAUAG